rnacentral:rRNA from 1 species
UACAGAGGGUGCGAGCGUUAAUCGGAAUUACUGGGCGUAAAGCGCGCGUAGGCGGCUUUGCAAGUCGGGUGUGAAAUCCCCAGGCUUAACCUGGGAACUGCAUUCGAGACUGCAUUGCUAGAGUAUGGGAGAGGGAAGUGGAAUUUCCGGUGUAGCGGUGAAAUGCGUAGAUAUCGGAAGGAACAUCAGUGGCGAAGGCGGCCUGCUGGGCAGUGGCUCGCAAGAGUCAAUAGCUGACGCUGAGGCGCGACAGCGUGGGGAGCAAACAGG